rnacentral:misc_RNA from 1 species
CUCUCUCUCUCUCUCUCUCUCUCCUGUUUUACAUAUACGGUGUAAAAUACACAUGUAACACAAAAGCUAAAUUAUUUCACCACAAACAGACGCCUCCUGUUAAAAAAAAAAAAAAGCAGACGCCUCCACUACACCUACCGUCACUCUCUCCUAUUAUUGUCUAGAAUUCUCCAUUCCCCACAUUAGCCCAUUUCAUCUCUCUUCUCUCUCUCUCUCUCUCUGUUUUGUUGCCUGAUUUCAAGUUCUCCACUCUUGUGUACAGUUAAUUGCUCGUCUUUUUAGCCAUAAUCUUUGUAUAAUCAUGGCUGUUUUAGUGUAUUUGGUGCUUUUACUGGCACUUGCUGGCCAUUCAAGUGCUGCUACUUACUGCUUAUGUAAGGAUGGGUUAAGUGAUGCAGCACUGCAAAAAUCCCU